rnacentral:lncRNA from 1 species
AGGAGUUCCCUGGUGGUGCAGCAGGUUGAGGAUACAGCAAUUGUCACUGCUGUGGCAUGGUUCGAUCCCUUGCUCUGGAACUUCUGGAUGCCAUAGGUGUAGUCAAAAAAAGGGGGGGAAAGAGUUCAACUUCCUCUGUUGGACUCCUUUUGGAAUCAUGGCAACCCACAAUGAGAUCUUUCUCCAUAUUCCUAGGACCCCAAUUUUUUUAUACCACUCAUUUGACACAUUAAAUCCUACCUUAUGUUAUGAAUUAUUGUUUUGAAAUAUUAUAGGCUCUUUGAGAACAAAUAAAAUAGCACGCAUUUCUUUGUAUAUCUCAUAGGGCUUAACAAAUUAUUAAGUAGUCAGAUUUGCUUGAAUGGGAGGAGGGUGGUCUCAGGGAUGCUUCUAGUAAUGACCACUGUUGAAGAAUAUCUAUUGAGAAUUUGCUCCAGCAGAAAAGAGUCCAUGGGAUCAACUAAAAAGCAAAAAAAUCAAAAUCUUGAGCUACUAAAGUUAGGUACUAAAAAGGUUAACAAAAUUUCUGCAAUCAUUGUAGUUAAAUUUUAAAGGUUUUGAUUUUUGUUGUUUCUAAGAAGCUUAGAGAAUUAACUGAUGUCCUAAUGUUACAUAAUACAGGUUCACAGUAAGUAGUAUGUUUAUUCUUCAAAGAACUUUGGAAAUCUUUACUAAUUAAUUAACUCAUUAAUCACUAGCUAAACUAGCAAGCCAAAAAGAAAUUGCAAAAAGAAAGGCAAUUGGUUGUAGCAGUAGCAAUCUAAAAAUCUAACCAUAUUCCAGAGAGUUGACAGACGGAUGGCUGUGCAUUUGGUGAUGCAUCAGGGUUGGGAUUUCACUGUCUGCUCAGUGUUUGGUAUGGAGUUUAUCUGACUGUGAUAUUAGACACUGUCUUGCUGAAUAUUGCCUGUUCUUACAAAUAGCUCACAAUGCCAGUUUUUCACACACUAGAUACUGGGAUUUUUCAUUUCAUAUAGCAGAAUGGCAUACAAAGGAAAACAUUCUAUAGUGCCCUUUAUGCUGAAGCACCAAAAUGUACUUCAAGAAGCAUGUAGGAGGGAGAUGGGAAGAGGGAGGGGCAGAAGAGAUGAUUCAAAAGAGCAAUUCCCAGUUUUAGUAAAUGAACCAAAUCCUAGAAUUAGAAAGAAAAUACUCAAAUUGGAAGCUAAAUAUGUCUGACAAUUUUAAAUCUAGGAUAACAGCAACUUAUAAAAUUGAGGCUUAAGACAAAAGCCAAUAUUCCCAGAUCCCUCGACCUACAUUUUGAAAAGCAUUUAUCCAGUUGGUUUCUAAGAAUUCUGGGGUUGAAACAAACAAACAAGGAGGUGUGGGUGGGUGUAGGGCACCCUCAGGGUAAUGCUUGAGCCCACUAAUUUACUCACCUUCAAAGCAAUUUUGAAAUCAAUUCAGCAUUUCCUGGAUAGGUUGACGUCACCCUGCUCAAAUCACAGUGAAGGACUGAAGAGCUGGCUUUGUGCUCAUUAAAAUUCUGUAUGCUCCACCAUGCCGGAGCCAGUGCCUAUUUUCAGGACCACCAUAAAACAAAGUAAUAAGUGUUCUUGUCUCUGGUGUCAAGGGAGAGCAGAGAGGAGAAACAUGGGAUGAGGGCCACAGAGGGGAAAGGGAGGAAGGAAGCAUGUAAUCUGCUAAUGUUUACCUAGUUCUAGCAAUAAAAUUAAGUGUCAGCCAUAUACAGUUAAUAAAGCAUCCAAAACACAGAAGUGAAUUCAAGAGUACUCCAAGAAUCUAAUCUGAGAGAAACUGGCCAGGAAAGUAGUAACAGACAAUUUAAUCUGGGGAAAAUGACUUUACACCAAGGAAAUUGAAAAUACCAUUCUCAGUUCUUCUUUCAUGAUUUUCAUUAAGUAGCUUUUCUUCUCACAACCCAUUUAUAAAGGAAAAUACCUGUCAUCCAUCCUGGUACUAUUUGCAUAGACAUAGAACUUAGGUCUUCCAAAUAUAUGUUUACACACACAUACACACACACACACACAUAUAUAUAUAUGUAUUUACAUAUAUAUAUAUAUAUUCGUGUAUAUAAACAUGUAUGUAUGCACAUACACAGUAUAUAUAUAUAUAAAUACAUACCUGUAAACAGGACCCUCAGGUCACGACUGCCAUAUAGAGGGACCCUGGAUCUGAGGGUUGCCUCUGCUCUGAUGCAACAAGGCGGGGUGGGUAUCUAAAGCAUUAAGGUUUUUUUGGUUUGUUUGUUUGUUUUGCUGCAGCAUGUGGAAGUACUCAUGCUAGGGAUGGAACCCAGGCCACAGCAGUGGCCUGAGGCACAGCAGUGACAGAACUGGAUCCUUAACCCACUGAGUCACAAGGGAACGCCAGCAUUAGGGUUUUAUAGAGCUAUGGGAGCAAAGUUGCCAUCUUUUUCCAAUGUAAGAGGUAUCUUUUAUGCAACUGUGUCAUUCAGCUAGGCCUGCAUAAACCCUGUGGCUUGUCCUCCAGUGGAGGGAGUAAACUUUGCAAAAGGAAAGCUCUCCCAUGGACAGACAGACAGACAUUGCUCUCAGAACAUUCUCAGAGAAAUGUACGCCCUGUGCUUUCUUCAGUCCCACACGAUGGGUAAGAGCAAGUGCCCACUAAGAAAAAUAACCUCAAGUUCAGGACAGGACCCUCAUUCUGUUUUUGAACAUUCCAUAUCAGUAUUCUUUGAACAGACAAACCCAACUCCAAAUAUUAUUAAAAAUUCUAAGUGAAUUUUUAAUUUUUCUUUCUUUCAGCUACUUCUUUCUUCUUUCAGCCACUCUUCACAGGCACAUGCUCACAUACUCAUGCAUGCAAACGUACACUCACACACACACACACACACACACACGUGCAUACGCACAGCCCAUGGGACCAGCAUGUGGUAAAAAGCAAGAUUUUUAUUCUAAGGAGGGCAGGCUGACCUUUCAGAGUUCAUCCCAACAAAAAUGUGCAGCCUCUUAUCUCUCUAGAAUGGGAUUCAGUGUUCAACGGCAAUGAAAAAUUGCCUAAAGACUCAGCUUCCCUCUCCUGCUGGGUCAAGGAGAAAGGAAGAUGGGACAGUUCUUCCAGGAGAGGUUGGCACUGUGCCCACUUGGCACAGAAAGUAACCAGCCACCUCUCUGCCCACAUCCUUUAUUUUCAGAGACAGUCGGUUUUAGUUCUCUGCUAGAGGCUGAGACCUGGCCCAGAGCAGCCAGGAGAAGGGGACCUCCCAUGUAGUCAGAAUGUUUGGGGAUGGGAAGUACACCAUGAGAAUUCAUGCCACGGAGUCACAUGAAGGAGACACCCUCAGUCCUUUGUUUUCCUGGCCUAGCUCAUUUCUCCCUUUGAAAUGGCAUGCUGGGGCCACAGCCCAGUGGGUCAGGUAUGGCAGAGGUCCCUGGCACCCAAGGAACAAAAGAGGUCUCUCUCUUACACAGCAACCAUUGUCAAAUCUUAGCACUGCCACUUCCCAUCUCUGUGACCUGGGGCAAGUCACUGAACCUCUCAGUGUUUCAUCUGCCUCCUCUACAAAUGGGGACAGGAACAGUCCCUCCCUCAUAGGAUACCUAGAAAGACUGAAUGAGGCAAAUUUCUAAGGGCUGAGGAAAAGUGUCUAGGACACUAUAAACACGCAUGAGUGUUAGCGAUGAUUAUCCCACCUGACUUCCCUUUGACCUGCUCUUGGACUUGGAGGGAAGAACAAAGGAGAACCAGGCUACCACAAUCAUUUUCCCACCCUUGGGCCCCGGUAGUGGCAGAUCGGGGGGGUGGGGGUGGGGGUGGGGGCUGACACUGCCUGCAAAUCUCACCCCUACUGCCUCUGUGUUUGCUUCUCUGGAGUGAAUAGAAGCAGAGCUGUUGGCUGCUUCGGCUGAAAGGCACAGACAUCCUCAUUACUCUGAAAUAAUCUAAUUAAGAGAGUCUAUGAAAGGAGGCAUGGGCGCUGAGGAAGAACCUGGUCUGCUUACUGAAUACAGGAGUUCAGGCUCUGGAAACGUUUUGAAUGGAAUGCUGAGCUUUAUUAUUAACAACAUGAGGGAGAAAAUAGAACCACUGAGACAUUUUUCUUCAUCGUUGAGUUCCUACUGCC